UGGGGAAUAUUGGACAAUGGGCGCAAGCCUGAUCCAGCCAUGCCGCGUGAGUGAUGAAGGCCUUAGGGUUGUAAAGCUCUUUCACCGGUGAAGAUAAUGACGGUAACCGGAGAAGAAGCCCCGGCUAACUUCGUGCCAGCAGCCGCGGUAAUACGAAGGGGGCUAGCGUUGUUCGGAUUUACUGGGCGUAAAGCGCACGUAGGCGGAUUGGUCAGUUAGGGGUGAAAUCCCGGAGCUCAACUCCGGAACUGCCUUUAAUACUGCCAAUCUAGAGACCGAGAGAGGUAAGUGGAACUCCUAGUGUAGAGGUGGAAUUCGUAGAUAUUAGGAAGAACACCAGUGGCGAAGGCGGCUUACUGGCUCGGAACUGACGCUGAGGUGCGAAAGCGUGGGGAGCAAACAGG
rnacentral:rRNA from 1 species